rnacentral:tRNA from 1 species
GCCGGCUUAGCUCAGGUGGUAGAGCGGCUGAUUUGUAAUCAGUAGGUCGGGAGUUCGAAUCUCUCAGCCGGCACCA